UGCCAGACUCCUACGGGAGGCAGCAGUCGGGAAUAUUGCGCAAUGGAGGAAACUCUGACGCAGUGACGCCGCGUAUAGGAAGAAGGUUUUCGGAUUGUAAACUAUUGUCGUUAGGGAAGAUACAAGACAGUACCUAAGGAGGAAGCCACGGCUAACUACGUGCCAGCAGCCGCGGUAAUACGUAGGUGGCAAGCGUUAUCCGGAUUUAUUGGGUGUAAAGGGCGUGUAGGCGGGAGCGCAAGUCAGAUGUGAAAUCUCAUGGCUCAACCCUGAGCCUGCAUUUGAAACUGUGUUUCUUGAGUGCUGGAGAGGCAAUCGGAAUUCCGUGUGUAGCGGUGAAAUGCGUAGAUAUACGGAGGAACACCAGUGGCGAAGGCGGAUUGCUGGACAGUAACUGGCGCUGAGGCGCGAAAGCGUGGGGAUCAAACAGGAUUAGAUACCCUUGUAA
rnacentral:rRNA from 1 species